AUUCUAUCUCUUUGUUCAACUAAUUAGCAUUAUAUUUGUGGCGUUUGGACAUAGGGUCUGAAUUGGAUGGACACUUUGAUCUUGAAGCAUCUGGGAAGGACUCAGUACAAAAUUGCAGAGUUACAAAACCAUAAUCAAAAUCUGAGAAUAACCAGGUGAUCAGCAAAGUUGGGGCAAGCCUUCUCCGUGACACUAAACCUAGGUCUGAAAUGACAGUGAGUGGUACUCCUCUCUUGCUUGAGCUCAAUCUCUUUUGGAACAACAUUACCAUAAGAUGAUA